rnacentral:lncRNA from 1 species
CACGUGUACACCUGUAUGUGCACAAGUGUGUGUCUGUGUUUGCACACACUUACUCAUACACACACGUGUUUGUACAUACGUGUGUGUGUGCAUACCUGUGUGCUUGUGUGUACAUGCCUGAGUCUGCCUGUGUGUGGAGGGAGCCGGGGUCUGGGGAGCAGCUGCGGAGCAUGGCCAUCUGUAUGUUCCCAUGGCCAUCAGCCUCCUGGACCUGUGGGGAAGGGGAGGCUGACGAGGAGAAACUGUGUGACACCUGACCAAUGGUGGGUGGGGGCCCUCCAGCAGCUGAGGAGCAGACAGGUGGCAUGCUGGAGCCCACUGAGGACCACCCAUUGCCUCGGUGUCCUCAAGAUAAGCCUGUCAAUUGGGUCUCCAGUGUAUUUGGUCUUUGGAUUGGUUGGCGAGGUGGAGUCAUGGAAUCACCUGGGGUGCUUGUGUUUGGAGGCCAGGGGGCCUCGCUUCAGGGUGUGCACACUCACGUCUACACCUGACAGAGACGCAUGGAAGGACCGUGUCUGAU